rnacentral:rRNA from 1 species
GACGAACGCUGGCGGCGUGCCUAAUACAUGCAAGUAGAACGCACAGUUUAUACCGUAGCUUGCUACACCAUAGACUGUGAGUUGCGAACGGGUGAGUAACGCGUAGGUAACCUGCCUGGUAGCGGGGGAUAACUAUUGGAAACGAUAGCUAAUACCGCAUAAUAUUAAUUAUUGCAUGAUAAUUAAUUGAAAGGUGCAAUUGCACCACUACCAGAUGGACCUGCGUUGUAUUAGCUAGUAGGUGAGGUAACGGCUCACCUAGGCGACGAUACAUAGCCGACCUGAGAGGGUGAUCGGCCACACUGGGACUGAGACACGGCCCAGACUCCUACGGGAGGCAGCAGUAGGGAAUCUUCGGCAAUGGACGAAAGUCUGACCGAGCAACGCCGCGUGAGUGAAGAAGGUUUUCGGAUCGUAAAGCUCUGUUGUAAGAGAAGAACGGGUGUGAGAGUGGAAAGUUCACACUGUGACGGUAUCUUACCAGAAAGGGACGGCUAACUGCGUG